rfam:Monodelphis domestica chromosome 2, whole genome shotgun sequence.
CUAAAGGCUCUUUUCAGAGCCACCCACGAUCUCACUGAGAGAAGCU